rnacentral:rRNA from 1 species
AAACCGGGAUUAAUACCGCAUAAAAUCGUAGAAACACAUGUUUUAACGGUCAAAGAUUUAUCGGUCAUAGAUGGGCUCGCGUCUGAUUAGCUAGUUGGUGAGAUAACAGCCACCAAGGCGACGAUCAGUAGCCGGUCUGAGAGGAUGAACGGCCACAUUGGAACUGAGACACGGUUCAA